rnacentral:rRNA from 1 species
AGCGAACGCUGGCGGCAGGCUUAACACAUGCAAGUCGAGCGGGCACUUUCGGGUGUCAGCGGCGGACGGGUGAGUAACGCGUGGGAACGUGCCCUCUGGUUCGGAAUAACUCAGGGAAACUUGAGCUAAUACCGGAUACGCCCUUUUGGGGAAAGGCUUGCUGCCGGAGGAUCGGCCCGCGUCUGAUUAGCUAGUUGGUGAGGUAACGGCUCACCAAGGCGACGAUCAGUAGCUGGUCUGAGAGGAUGAUCAGCCACACUGGGACUGAGACACGGCCCAGACUCCUACGGGAGGCAGCAGUGGGGAAUAUUGGACAAUGGGCGCAAGCCUCAUCCAGCCAUGCCGCGUGAGUGAUGAAGGCCUUAGGGUUGUAAAGCUCUUUUAUCCGGGACGAUAAUGACGGUACCGGAGGAAUAAGCCCCGGCUAACUUCGUG